GCAAACUUGGUCAUUUAGAGGAAGUAAAAGUCGUAACAAGGUAUCCGUAGGUGAACCUGCGGAUGGAUCAUUACCAAUUUUUAUAUAAUAUUUAGUGUGUGCUUCGGUCAAACGGAGUUACACAACUAACUAUAUUGUAAACGUUGAACUGGACCAAUUGGUGUGGAUUGCUUGGGAAUGGACGAAGCGACAAGCCUCUUCCGGACAGGCAAACCCCACACUGAUAACCCUUUUUAAUAUAUAUAUACUACCAAUAUAUACAUACUACAAACAAACAAAAACAAACAAAAGCUAUAAUAGGACUUAUAACGGUUGAGUGGGUAAAAUCCUCAACUAUAAAAAUAUAACUAUUACAACUUUCAGCAAUGGAUCUCUAGGCUCUCGCAUCGAUGAAGAACGCAGC
rnacentral:misc_RNA from 1 species